GCCCGGGAAGCGAGCGGAGCGAGCGACCCGGAACGUCUGACUCCGGUUCAAAUCCGGUCCCGCGCA
rnacentral:tRNA from 1 species